rnacentral:rRNA from 1 species
AACUCAAUUUAAUUGUCUUUCGCCCCAAUUUAAAUUCAGGUUGGAUUUGGGGGAAGGGGGUUCCAAUUCCCUGAACGGGCCCCCAGGGGGGGAAAACCCUGGGAAUCCGCGGGAACANGGAGGCCCUUCUGCGAGUCGAGUUGUUUGGGAAUCCACUCCCAAGCGGUUGGAAAUUCCAUCUAAGGUAAAUCNGGCGAAGAGACCGAUAGCGAACAAGUACUGGGAAGGAAAGAAUGAAAAGCCCUUUGAAAAGAGAGUGAAACAGCACGUGAAAUUGUUGAAAGGGAAGGGUAUUGCGCCCGACAUGGGGAUUGCGCACCGCUGCCUCUCGUGGGCGGCGCUCUGGGCUUUCCCUGGGCCAGCAUCGGUUCUUGCUGCAGGAGAAGGGGUUCUGGAACGUGGCUCUUCGGAGUGUUAUAGCCAGGGCCAGAUGCUGCGUGCGGGGACCGAGGACUGCGGCCGUGUAGGUCACGGAUGCUGGCAGAACGGCGCAACACCGCCCGUCUUGAAACACGGACC